rnacentral:tRNA from 1 species
GUCCAGGGAUGGGAAUCGAACCCACUGUGUUCAGCUUACCGGGCAGAUGCCAUGUCCACUAGGCUACCCUGGA